rnacentral:rRNA from 1 species
CACAUGCAGUCGAACGAAGCAUUUAGAACGGAUUACUUCGGUUUGAAGUUCUUUAUGACUGAGUGGCGGACGGGUGAGUAACGCGUGGGUAACCUGCCUUGUACUGGGGGAUAGCAGCUGGAAACGGCUGGUAAUACCGCAUAAGCGCACAAUGUUGCAUGACAUGGUGUGAAAAACUCCGGUGGUAUAAGAUGGACCCGCGUCUGAUUAGCUAGUUGGUGAGAUAACAGCCCACCAAGGCGACGAUCAGUAGCCGACCUGAGAGGGUGACCGGCCACAUUGGGACUGAGACACGGCCCAGACUCCUACGGGAGGCAGCAGUGGGGAAUAUUGCACAAUGGAGGAAACUCUGAUGCAGCGACGCCGCGUGAGUGAAGAAGUAAUUCGUUAUGUAAAGCUCUAUCAGCAGGGAAGAUAGUGACGGUACCUGACUAAGAAGCUCCGGCUAAAUACGUGCCAGCAGCCGCGGUAAUACGUAUGGAGCAAGCGUUAUCCGGAUUUACUGGGUGUAAAGGGAGUGUAGGUGGCCAUGCAAGUCAGAAGUGAAAAUCCGGGGCUCAACCCCGGAACUGCUUUUGAAACUGUAAGGCUGGAGUGCAGGAGGGGUGAGUGGAAUUCCUAGUGUAGCGGUGAAAUGCGUAGAUAUUAGGAGGAACACCAGUGGCGAAGGCGGCUCACUGGACUGUAACUGACACUGAGGCUCGAAAGCGUGGGGAGCAACAGGAUUAGAUACCCUGGUAGUCCACGCCGUAACGAUGAAUACUAGGUGUCGGGGCCCAUGAGGGCUUCGGUGCCGCAGCAAACGCAAUAAGUAUUCCACCUGGGGAGUACGUUCGCAAGAAUGAAACUCAAAGGAAUUGACGGGGACCCGCACAAGCGGUGGAGCAUGUGGUUUAA